UGGGGAAUAUUGCACAAUGGGCGCAAGCCUGAUGCAGCCAUGCCGCGUGUGUGAAGAAGGCCUUCGGGUUGUAAAGCACUUUCAGCGGGGAGGAAGGCGUUAAGGUUAAUAACCUUGGCGAUUGACGUUACCCGCAGAAGAAGCACCGGCUAACUACGUGCCAGCAGCCGCGGUAAUACGUAGGUGGCAAGCGUUGUCCGGAUUUAUUGGGCGUAAAGCGAGCGCAGGCGGUUUCUUAAGUCUGAUGUGAAAGCCCCCGGCUCAACCGGGGAGGGUCAUUGGAAACUGGGAGACUUGAGUGCAGAAGAGGAGAGUGAAAUUCCAUGUGUAGCGGUGAAAUGCGUAGAUAUAUGGAGGAACACCAGUGGCGAAGGCGGCUCUCUGGUCUGUAACUGACGCUGAGGCUCGAAAGCGUGGGGAGCAAACAGG
rnacentral:rRNA from 1 species